CGGGGAGGAGGGCUCUGUUUCCGGGCUUCUAAGCACAGAACCAGAGCUGGGUUCUGAGAGCUGUCUCAGUUGGGUAGACUGUCCGUGCUUUAAGAUUUCUGCUGGCUGCAGGCUGCGUGGGAAGCACCCGGGGAGACCCUCCAGACACGCAAUGGUCUGUUUUGUGUACCCAGCACCCUGUCUCCACAGCCACCCGACCAGCCUAGAGUGCAGACUCGGGCAGCCGCAGCCCACAGCUCCAUCUCCACCUGUGCGCCGACAGGGAGAAUUGUGGGGAGACCCUGAUUCCAGUGGGGAGCUGUGGGGAGCGGGACCCCUGGUCUCAUUCGUCCCUCCAGCAGACCUGAGGGAUCUCAAUUUUAUAAGUGUCGAGGAUACAAGGUCUCAAAGCCACAACUUAGCUCCUGAGGACGACGCUGCUCUGUGAUGAGAAUAAAUUGCCAAAAGUAUUCUAUGUCCCCACAUUGCCAAACUCGGGAUUAGUGAGGACCAGUGCCGUGUGAGAAUUGACAGUAAAGAUUGCCAGGCGUGGUGGUACGAGGCUGAGGUAGGAAGUUAGCUUUGAGUUGGAGGCCAGUCUGGGUUACUUAGUGAGAUCAAGGCAAGCCUGAACUACAAAGCAAGACCCUGUGUGAAACAACAAAACAAAACAAACAAAAAACCGAAGGAAAAGAAAGAAAUGUUCGAUAUUGCUGGUCUAGUGAGUUCGUGAGAGAGUGCUUGCUGAGCAUGCAGUGAACUUGUGAGCUAUAUACACAGCAAUGCAAAAGCAAUUAUCACCUAAUGAUUUGGGUGGCACCUCUAUGAAGGGAGAGACCUCUUAAGUGAGGCCUUCUCAUAUUGUUUAGAGUGCUGAGAGAAAGGGUGGGGUUGUUAAUAUGUUAACAGGGAUCCCGGAAAGUGUUCCUGCUAAGGACUACUUCCAGAAAGGGCUGCCUGUUAUACACAUACACACACACACACACACACACACACACACACACACACACACACACAGUGGGAGAAUCAUUAAACUCAGGCAUUUACAUGGAACAUGUGAUUUGGUGGAGUGGAAAAGAAGAGGGGUAGCAUCUCAAGUAACUGCUAUAGGCCUUGGACUGUAGACAUUGUUUUAAGAAUUGAAAUGCUGACUGAGGUGGACUUUAUAUUAAAGGAAUAGUGUAGUAGGAGUAAAAGUUGAAGGUGAGCUCUGUGGCCAUAGGAGUGGUUAGCAAUAAAAGGUUUCUGUGUAGGGAGAAAUAAAGGGGAAGAGAAAAAAAGUGGGAGAAGAGGGGAUGGUAAUUGUGAUAAAAUCCGUGCCUACAACAGAGAGGGUCUUCCCCUGAGGUCAGAUUGUUGUUAGUGUGACAAGAAAGAAUUGUGUCCUGACUCAGUCUGAAAAUGUGUCAAAUAUCUCAGCAUUAAGAAAGGAGAAGUUGGGCUGGGGAUGUAACUCGGUGGUGCAAGUGCAAGGCCCUGAGUUCCAGUCCAGGUACCAAAAGAAAAAGAAAGAAGAAAGGAGAAGUCUUGGUAAAACUUAAAUAUGUCUUUUAUUACUACUGAUCAAUGAACCAAAUCAGUCUUUUGUUGUUGUUCAUGCUAGCCUUGACCUAAUUAUGUAGUCCAGGAUUGCCUCCAACUUGUGGCAAUCCUCCAGACUGAGCCUCCUAAGUACUGAGACUAGCAGCCAACACACUCAUCCCUAAUUGUUUCUGAGGAGAAAAAAUGGAAAUUAAGAAUUGUCCGAGCUUGUCUGGCUUAAAAAUUGGUAGACAGCAUCGUCUAAGUGUGAUGGAAAGGGAUUUGUUCAGGAUACAGCAGAUUUCAGGUAUGGUUGCUGUUUUUAUUGUACAGAAGAUUGAAUGCAGCACCUUUUCCUCUGGAAUACAUUCUUCAUACCUUGAAAUAUUUUUUAAAUUUUGAGACCACAUCUUUCUAUGUUGCCCAGGCUGCAGCAAACUUUUGAUCUUGUUUCAGCCUCCUGGAGUUCUGAGAUAACAGACAUGUGCCACCAUGUCUGGCUGAGAUAUGGG
rnacentral:lncRNA from 1 species